UAGGUGCAGGUCGUACAUACGCGGUCAGUUCGGUCAGUACGUGACAAAGCUGAGAACCUGUCAACAAGUCCGCACCGGUUAGUAACCACAUCUUGUGUUUUGCAGGUAAACCAGCAUAUGAGAUGGACCAGGCUCAUCCAGACUUGGGCUCCAGCCUGUCUUUUGGGUAACUCUGAAAGGGCAGCCACAUCGUCACACCAACAUGUCCACAGACAACGCAGAUGUCAUCUGACAGUGUCCAGGAGAUGUGAAGAUGAAGCCAGAGCUGCAGAGGAAGACCAGCGUGGGGGUUUUCACUAAAGGCAGAUGACAGCUUGAUGCAAAAGACGUGGAAGAGACACAUGUUAUAUCACACCUUAGAAUCCAUGCAGAAAGGGUAAUAUGCAAGUUGUGUAGCAAGUACUGUUGGAGGACACCAGUCAGUUUGUUGCUUCCAUGUGAGGGUGAGGUUACCCUUCUAAAAUAGUUGAUGUUUGUUGUAUAUUACUGAACAUGUGCCCAAGUGUUGUUGUAAGGCCAGAGGACACAUGCACUUGUUGAGUGAUUGAAUAAAAAAAAAAAAAAAAA